CCAAUAGCGUAUAUUAAAGUUGUUGCAGUUAAAAAGCUCGUAGUUGAAUUUCGGGAUCUAUCCGUCGGUCGGGCCUCACGGUCCGCACUGGUGUGAUGGAUUCCUACCUUCUGAACAACCGGUAUGCCAUUAAUUUGAUGUGCCGGGGAAGCAGAACCAUUACCUUGAAAAAAUUAGAGUGCUCAAAGCAGGCUUGUGCCUGAAUACAUUAGCAUGGAAUAAUAAAAUAGGACGGCAUGGUUCUAUUUUGUUGGUUUCUAGGAUCACCGUAAUGAUUAAUAGGGAUAGUUGGGGGCAUUAGUAUUCAAUUGUCAGAGGUGAAAUUCUUGGAUUUAUUGAAGACUAACUUCUGCGAAAGCAUUUGCCAAGGAUGUUUUCAUUAAUCAAGAACGAAAGUUAGGGGAUCGAAGACGAUCAGAUACCGUCGUAGUCUUAACCAUAAACUAUGCCGACUAGGGAUCGGACGAUGUUAAUUUUAUAAUGACUCGUUCGGCGCCUUACA
rnacentral:rRNA from 1 species